rnacentral:rRNA from 1 species
UYAUGCUAAAUAAAGUUUUUUUACCGAAAGUUUUUGAUUUUAUCUUUAAUCGAAUUUUGUUCUGUUUCAUGUCAGGUAGAUUUUGUUUAAAUUAUUUUUACGUUGUGAUAAGUUAUUCGGAAUUACUUAUAUCUGUUUAAUGACUAGGUUGAUUUAGGUAGACCCUUGGCUAAGAUGUCAAGGGUCAUUAAAUAUUCUUUUUGUUUUUGGUUAUAAGAUAAGGGUUAGAGCUACCCAUUAUUUGUAAGUGUGUUAUAAUUUUUAUAAAUUUUUUUAUUGAAUUUUGUUUUGUAGUCAUUUUAUUUUUAAUUGUUAGUUUAUUUUUUAUGGUUAAAUAAGUAAUUAUAUCAUAGGUUUUGUUUCUAAAGAAUUGCCUGUCUGUUUAUUAAAAACAUUUCCACCUUAUUAACUUGGGUGGUAGUACCUGCUCUAUGCUUUUGGUAAAUGGCCGCAGUAUCUUGACUGUGCGAAGGUAGCAUAAUUAAUUGCCUUAUAAUUGAAGGCUUGUUUGAAAGGUUUGACAAGGUAGUAUCUAACAUUAUUUAUUUUUUUGAAAUUAAUUUUAGGGGCACAGAAUCCCUUUAUUUUAAUUAGACGGAAAGACCCCGGGAUCUUUCAUUUUUGUCUGGGGCAGAUUAUAGUUUUUCACUGAUAAUUUAGACCCUUGUGGUGCAUUGGUGUAAGUUACCCCGGGGAUAACAGUGUAAUAGUAUAUAAGAGAUCAUAUCGAAUUUACUGUUUGCCACCUCGAUGUUGACUUAGGUUUAAGUUUGGGCGCAGUAGUUCAAAUUUUUGGUCUGUUCGACCUUAUUUUACCUCCAUGAGUUGAGUUAAGACCGGCGUGA